rnacentral:rRNA from 1 species
UACGUAGGGCGCAAGCGUUGUCCGGAAUUAUUGGGCGUAAGAGCUCGUAGGCGGCUUGUCACGUCGGUUGUGAAAGCCCGGGGCUUAACCCCGGGUCUGCAGUCGAUACGGGCAGGCUAGAGUUCGGUAGGGGAGAUCGGAAUUCCUGGUGUAGCGGUGAAAUGCGCAGAUAUCAGGAGGAACACCGGUGGCGAAGGCGGGUCGCUGGGCAGUAACCGACGCUGAGGAGCGAAAGCGUGGGUAGCAAACAGG